AACAACGCGAUGUGACUAUGGAGCAAAAAUUGAAGACACGCCACCCAAAUGACGUUGACACGUCGCCCUAAUGAUGGUGGCAUGCUGCCCAAGCGGUAGCGCAUGGUGCUAAAGAGGGCAGCAUGCACAGCCCAAGGCACCACACAUUACCCUAGCCUGUCAUGUGCCACAAGCCUAGCUUACUGCGCACACAGGCCUACCGUGCGUAUGGCGCGCACGCAGCCAUGCGCCCAUCUGCACGCGAUUGGACGCGCACACAAAUCGCACCUCGUGCCCCGAGUAGAUAGAACAUGCGCAUAGUGCGCACGUCCUGUGCUGGCCACGCGUGCAUGUUACGCGGAGGUUGCGAGGGCGUUCUCGCAGGAUUUUAUGCCGUUUUUCUUCGUUUUUCUCUGAAAUUUUUUUAUUUAA
rnacentral:lncRNA from 1 species